UGGGGAAUAUUGCACAAUGGGGGAAACCCUGAUGCAGCGACGCCGCGUGGAGGAAGAAGGUCUUCGGAUUGUAAACUCCUGUUGUUGAGGAAGAUAAUGACGGUACUCAACAAGGAAGUGACGGCUAACUACGUGCCAGCAGCCGCGGUAAAACGUAGGUCACAAGCGUUGUCCGGAAUUACUGGGUGUAAAGGGAGCGCAGGCGGGAUAGCAAGUCAGAUGUGAAAACUAUGGGCUUAACCCAUAAACUGCAUUUGAAACUGUGGUUCUUGAGUGAAGUAGAGGUAAGCGGAAUUCCUAGUGUAGCGGUGAAAUGCGUAGAUAUUAGGAGGAACAUCAGUGGCGAAGGCGGCUUACUGGGCUUUAACUGACGCUGAGGCUCGAAAGCGUGGGGAGCAAACAGGAUUAGAUACCCUGGUAGUCCACGCCGUAAACGAUGAUUACUAGGUGUGGGGGGACUGACCCCUUCCGUGCCGCAGCAAACGCAAUAAGUAAUCCACCUGGGGAGUACGACCGCAAGGUUGAAACUCAAAGGAAUUGACGGGGGCCCGCACAAGCAGUGGAGUAUGUGGAUUAAUUCGAAGCAACGCGAAGAACCUUACCAGGUCUUGACAUCGUAUGCAUAGCUCAGAGAUGAGUGAAAUCUCUUCGGAGACAUAUAGACAGGUGGUGCAUGGUUGUCGUCAGCUCGUGUCGUGAGAUGUUGGGUUAAGUCCCGCAACGAGCGCAACCCUUACUGUUAGUUGCUACGCAAGAGCACUCUAGCAGGACUGCCGUUGACAAAACGGAGGAAGGUGGGGAUGACGUCAAAUCAUCAUGCCCCUUAUGACCUGGGCCUCACACGUACUACAAUGGCUGUUAACAGAGGGAUGCAAAGCCGCAAGGUGGAGCGAACCCCUAAAAGCAGUCUUAGUUCGGAUUGUAGGCUGCAACCCGCCUACAUGAAGUCGGAAUUGCUAGUAAUCGCAGAUCAGCAUGCUGCGGUGAAUACGUUCCC
rnacentral:rRNA from 1 species